rnacentral:rRNA from 1 species
AGAGUUUGAUCCUGGCUCAGGAUGAACGCUGGCGGCGUGCCUAACACAUGCAAGUCGAGCGGAGACCCGUGAAGUAGUAAUACGGAACGGAUCUUAGCGGCGGACGGGUGAGUAACACGUGAGUAAUCUGCCUUCGGCAGGGGAAUAACAUUGUGAAAACAGUGCUAAUACCGCAUGAUAUCCGACUGGGGCAUCCCGGACGGAUCAAAGGAGAAAUCCGGCAGAAGAUGAACUCGCGUCCGAUUAGCUAGUUGGUGAGGUAGUGGCUCACCAAGGCGACGAUCGGUAGCCGAACUGAGAGGUUGAUCGGCCACAUUGGGACUGAGACACGGCCCAGACUCCUACGGGAGGCAGCAGUGGGGAAUAUUGGGCAAUGGGCGCAAGCCUGACCCAGCAACGCCGCGUGAAGGACUAACCUUCGGGUUGUAAACUUCUUUGAUCAGGGA